rnacentral:rRNA from 1 species
AACGAACGCUGGCGGCAGGCCUAACACAUGCAAGUCGAGCGAGGACUUCGGUCCUAGCGGCGGACGGGUGAGUAACGCGUGGGAACGUGCCCUUUGCUUCGGAAUAGCCCUGGGAAACUGGGAGUAAUACCGGAUGAGCCCUUUGGGGGAAAGAUUUAUCGGCGAAGGAUCGGCCCGCGUUGGAUUAGGUAGUUGGUGGGGUAAUGGCCUACCAAGCCGACGAUCCAUAGCUGGUUUGAGAGGAUGAUCAGCCACACUGGGACUGAGACACGGCCCAGACUCAUGCGGGGGGCAGCAGUGGGAGAUCUUGGACACGGGAGGACACCCUGAUCUCGCCGUGUGGCGUGGGCUGUGAUGGUCGGCGUGUUGUAUAGCUCCGUGGUCUGGGAAGAUAACGACGGACCCAGAAGACGACGCCCCGCCUCACGCCGUCGCAGCGGCAGGGGUAAUACUCGGCAGAGCCCCCGUCCGACC